rnacentral:lncRNA from 1 species
CACAUCUGGGUGCAGUGGCUCACGCCUAUAAUCCCAGCACUUUGGGAGGCCAAGGCGGACGGAUCAUUGGAGGUCGGCACAUGGCCAGAGCAGGAGCAAGAGUCGGGGUAGGGGUUCGGCUUCUGCUAUGUUCAGAGAAGCCCAAAACACAUUUUGGGUGGAGGGGUUGCCACACACACUUUUAAUUUUAGAAUAGUUUUAGACUUAUAAAAAAUAUUACAAAGAUAGUACAGGGAGUUCCCUCAUACCUCACACUCAGUUUGCCUUCUUACCAUCUUACAUUAGUCUGAUACAUUGUCACAACUGAUGAAUCAGUAUGGAUACAUUAUUAUUAAUCUAGGUCCACUGUUUAGUGCAAUUUCCUUAGUUUUUCCUUAACAUCUUUUCCUGUUCCGAGAUCCUAUCCAGCAUAUCCCAUUACAUUUUGUCAUCCUUUCUCCUGUAGGCUCCAUUUGGACAUGACACGUUCUCAGACUUUCCUUGUUUUUGAUCACCCAGACAGUUUGAGUACUGCUCAGGUAUUUUGCAGACUGUCCCUCAGUAGGAAU